rnacentral:rRNA from 1 species
AUUGAACGCUGGCGGCAGGCCUAACACAUGCAAGUCGAACGGUAACAGGGAUCAGCUUGCUGAUUCGCUGACGAGUGGCGGACGGGUGAGUAAUGUCUGGGAAACUGCCUGAUGGAGGGGGAUAACUACUGGAAACGGUAGCUAAUACCGCAUAACGUCGCAAGACCAAAGAGGGGGACCUUCGGGCCUCUUGCCAUCGGAUGUGCCCAGAUGGGAUUAGCUAGUAGGUGGGGUAACGGCUCACCUAGGCGACGAUCCCUAGCUGGUCUGAGAGGAUGACCAGCCACACUGGAACUGAGACACGGUCCAGACUCCUGCGGGAGGCAGCAGUGGGGAAUAUUGCACAAUGGGCGCAAGCCUGAUGCAGCCAUGCCGCGUGUAUGAAGAAGGCCUUCGGGUUGUAAAGUACUUUCAGCGGGGAGGAAGGGAGUAAAGUUAAUACCUUUGCUCAUUGACGUUACCCGCAGAAGAAGCACCGGCUAACUCCGUG